AUCAUCGGCUGUCACGUCUUGAUAACGGGCUAAGUUACUAACCAAAUGCGCAUAAUAAACAGGUGGAACCAAGGAAACAGCACUUGUUGCUCUUGCAUAAACAUAACAAAGAUUAUAACACAGUGUUUGGAAUUGGUCCGGUGGCAUCUGAAUUUCGUCGUGCAAAACCGUGUAGUGAACUGGGACCGAAACGCCUUGCAGAGAUGGGUGGGAUAUAAGGUAAAAAUCGUACUGAUAGGGGUGAGUAACAUGCUUUUCAAUAAUUGUACCAGGGAGGGGAUUUCCAUUUCUAUCUCCGUCGGAUUUGUUCUUAAUGAAGAAACGAGCGUGAUGUCUCUUCUGCGUUGUGCAUACUAGAAUCUUUGGAUUGUAUUUUGGUGAUAGACUAUGACACGCUUCUUUAAUCUGAGAAAGCUCAUCGUUUAUUACUGAUAAAAAUUGUCCUUCCGAGGUACCGUCACGGAAAUAGAUAAUACGUUGUGGUUGUUGUUUAGUCAUUGCCCUAAACCCUUGCAAUAGAUAUACCACGAUAUCCUUCAUUCCUUCAAUCACUUCUUGAUGACGAGGUUGGGAACGUGAAACAGCCGUAUACUUGCAGCCAUUUAGGUCU